rnacentral:tRNA from 1 species
GCCUGGGUGGCUCAGUUGGUUGAGCGUCUGACUUCAGCUCAGGUCAUGAUCUCAUAGCCUGUGAGUUUGAGCCCCCGCGUCAGGCU